GACCGAGCUAGAAUUGGAAUCUUGGCCAGGUAAUUCCAGAUGUUUCACUCUUAACCAUUCUAUAGAAUCAGCACCCAUCUUUGAGUCAGAGUUUGAGAUGCAAAUCCUUUACUGUAUAGCCUUGAUCAAAUGACUUCACCUCAUUGAAUUAAUCUUCUUCUGCAUAAAAUGGGGUCACCAUCUGCUUAUCUAAAUUGUUACAAAUGGGACAGUAUAUGUGCCAUUCCAGAUACCUAAUCACAGCUCAAUCGAUGCUGGUGUCUUUUUCCUUUUUCCUUCUGCAGAAAACAUGCUUUACAUAGGAUCUCUGAACUUAAAGAAUGGGAAGAAGAAAAAUCAUGUUUCCAGCUUGGGCUGCUGUUUCAUCUGUUGGACUUGCUUAAAGCGUAUGGGUUUGUUUACCCUUCCUGCAGGCAUCCAACCUGGCCUUUUAUUCCUGCUCAAGUAGGACAUGCAGCCUGCUGGGGACCCGUGGCUCAAAUCCUCCAACUGCAGGACUGCCGGCCCUGGGACUCAUGAAUAAUGGAAGUGCAGUAACCACUCCUUACAGCCCAGACGACUUUCCAGGAGCAGGCUGUACCCCGAAAGUAAACAAGGAACAAGGGGCAAGGAGACAGAGAGAGAUGGGGAAAUGAUCCCUGAAUGGAAAGGAAUGCUAUGCACACUUUUUGGAUACAGGAAGUGAGAUUCAGAGGGGUUAAACAGCUUUCCUAAAGCCACACAGCGAGAGAGUCGAUCUGAACUGAAGAUUGUUUGACAUCAAAGCUCAUUUCUUUCCCUAAAUGUCAGCAUUCUUUCCUGACUUAUUAAUUUGAUUUCUGUCCUCCCCUCAUGGAAGUUAAUUAAAGGAAUGCGAGAACCUUUUAGAAAAUCUCCAGGGCAGCUUCUGUGUUGAUCAUUGUUUCACAAUCUCUUUUCCACCCAAUCCCCACCAGCCCUUUAGAUCUGUUUCUGUUAGGCCACAUCCCAGAGCUGCACAGAUCAGGGGAGAGAGAGCUCGCCGCUAAGGCAAGUCCUCUGUCAAAUGCAACAGGGACGAGGAAACCAUGCGCUCGCCUGUGGUUUACUAUGUGCCAGGAACUGUGUGGAUUGCUUAACAAAAAUCAACUUAGCUAAUCCUCAUAGUAAUGACACAAGGCAGGCAGGGUUUUGUUGUUGUUGUUUUUGGAGACUGAGUCUCGCUCUGUCUCCCAGGCUGGAGUGCAGUGGUGCGAUCUCCGCUCGCUGCAAGCUCCGCCUGUCAGGUUCACUCCAUUCUCCUGCCUCAGACUCCCGAGUAGCUGGGACCACAGGCGCCCACCACCACACCCGGCUAAUUCUUUUGUGUUUUUAUUAGAGACGGAGUUUCAC
rnacentral:lncRNA from 10 species